UUUGUUGUGUAAAGUUCAUUAUAUAAAAUUUAUUUUCAAUGACAAUAUCAAUGCAAAUAUAGCACUACAGUGAUUUCCAAGGUACACCGUAUCUUACCAUAUCAAUAUAGUAUGGCACUCAUAUAAUGGCCACUGUUUUUAGAAGACACACAAAACCAACAGCUUCUGUAAACUAUUCUGGAAAUGAUACCGAGGGUUCCAUAUCAGUCCGUGAAAAGGAAUCAUAGUAAGGUGAUUACUUGGUAUCAGCAAUCAAAAUUGGGCACAAUAGUAAGAAUCAUUGGAGCAUUUCAGUGUAAGGAAUCUCUGCAUGCAUUGCACUUGCCCAUUUCCGUCAACCUGGCCUGUGUUUGCUUGAAAAUGGACUCUGAUCCUCAAACGCGAGCAGGUGGAGCUAAAAACAAAAAAGGCCAAGUAGUGACUCUCAAACACUUAGAUAGGUCUUCUUUUCACUGGGUGUACUGUACUGUACAGUUUGGUGCUUACUAUCAUUAAAAACGACAACAACCAAGAGACAUUCAAGCGCCUUAAUACUAUUACAGACGGGCUCACUCUUUAACGUACGAACUUCAUUUCACGUGGCUUUCAGAAAGGAAAAACAAAAGAAAGAAAGAAAACCAAAAUAAUAAAUAAAAAUAAACCCAAAACAAAUAUCUCACAAUAAGCACUAUAUUAAUAAUGUUUCUCAUGGUAACACUGUAUAGUUGAGUGAACAACACCAGUAGUUCAAGAUAGCAGCAAGUAUUCAAAAAUGUCAAGACAACGGGCUGUGGAAAUCUGUACACAAAUAAAAAUGGAUGUAGAAAAAGGGCAUAAAUAAAUCAAUAACACAGCUUAAAGGGAGUCUUGCAUAAAUUGAAAUAAACAACUGUUGGGCUGUGCCUUUCUUUAGAGGGCUUACUGUUUAUUAGUAGAACUAUAAGUAAUGCAUGGACUGGCUGCAGCAGAUAAAGUACUUAAUUCUUUUAGAAAAAACAAGUGAACAAAGUUAUGUUUAUACAAUAUAUGCUACAUAAUAUGUAUUGAUUACAAGUAUGAAAAUGGAAAUAAUUGCUACAUUUUCAAUAGAGUUGUACAUAUCUAUUUACAGUACAUUAGGGUUUAACUUGUCCUAAGCGUAUACAAUGUUUUGUGCAGAUUGUUCCAGCAUUCUGUUUGAGGUGAUCAAUACUCACAGUCUUAUCAGUUGCACCAUAUUGCACAGUCUGUGUUGAUGGGUGUUGAGUGCCUGUUUUUCGGUGUGGUGGAACAAUCACUAAUGUGCAACUGUGGAUAAGCAUGAGCGAUGAAAUUUUUUUUGUACCAUUGAACUGUAUCUAUAUUUGGCUGGACUGCACAGCAUGUGCCAUCUGUCACCUAUUUAUUUAUUAAUUUUUUUCCUAAUGAGG
ensembl:lncRNA